CCUACGGGUGGCUGCAGUGGGGAAUAUUGGGCAAUGGAGGCAACUCUGACCCAGCAACGCCGCGUGAGGGAAGAAGGUUUUCGGAUUGUAAACCUCUGUCCUAGGGGACGAAGAAAGUGACGGUACCCUAGGAGGAAGCCCCGGCUAACUACGUGCCAGCAGCCGCGGUAAUACGUAGGGGGCAAGCGUUGUCCGGAAUUACUGGGCGUAAAGGGUGCGUAGGCGGUUUGGUAAGUUAGAUGUGAAAUCCCCGGGCUUAACUCGGGAGUUGCAUUUAAAACUGCUGAACUAGAGUGCAGGAGAGGAAAGCGGAAUUCCUAGUGUAGCGGUGAAAUGCGUAGAUAUUAGGAGGAACACCAGUGGCGAAGGCGGCUUUCUGGACUGUAACUGACGCUGAGGCACGAAAGCGUGGGGAGCGAACAGGCUUAGAUACCCCUGUAGUC
rnacentral:rRNA from 2 species